CAAAUUAUACUUAAAAGUUAAGGGUUUCAUUUAAACUGAAGUAUUUAUCGUGCAAUUCGAUUUAAUUUGA
rnacentral:tRNA from 1 species